rnacentral:rRNA from 1 species
GACGAACGCUGGCGGCGUGCCUAAUACAUGCAAGUCGAACGCAGUGGGGACGGGAGAGUAACACGUGGGUAACCUCCCAUCAGAGGGGAUAACACUUGGAAACAGGUGCUAAACCGAUACUGAUGGAUGGACAAGCGGUGCAUUAGCUAGUUGGUGAUGUAACGGCUAACCAAGGCCACGAUGCGGAGCCGACCUGGAAGGGUGGUCGGCCACCCUGGCACUGCGCCACUGCCCAGACUCCUACGGGAGGCAGCAGUAGUGAAUCUUCGGCAAUGGACGAAAGUCUGACCGAGCCACGCCGCGUGAGUGAAGAAGGUUUUCGGAUCGUAAAACUCUGUUGUUAGAGAAGCGGUAUCUAACCAGAAAGCCACGGCUAACUACGUGCCAGCCGCCGCGGUAAUUC